CCUACGGGGGGCUGCAGUGGGGAAUAUUGGACAAUGGGGGAAACCCUGAUCCAGCGACGCCGCGUGAGUGAAGAAGUAUUUCGGUACGUAAAGCUCUAUCAGCAGGGAAGAAAAUGACGGUACCUGACUAGGAAGCCCCGGCUAACUACGUGCCAGCAGCCGCGGUAAUACGUAGGGGGCAAGCGUUAUCCGGAUUUACUGGGUGUAAAGGGGGCGUAGACGGCAGCGCAAGUCUGGAGUGAAAUGCCGGGGCGCAACCCCGGAACUGCUCUGGAAACUGGGAAGCUGGAGUGCAGGAGAGGUAAGCGGAAUUCGUGGUGUAGCGGUGAAAUGCGUAGAUAUCAGGAGGAACACCGGCGGCGAAGGCGGCUUGCUGGACUGUAACUGACGUUGAGGCUCGAAGGCGUGGGGAGCAAACAGGAUUAGAUACCCCAGUAGUC
rnacentral:rRNA from 1 species